CCGUCUGCGCCCCGCUAGGUCCCGGGGCCGCCUGAGAAGCAGGCGGGAGACUCCCAGCGCGACCAAUAGGAAGACCGCCAAUGGAGCGGUCCGCCCGCGGGGGGAGAAGGGCACUUCCGGGCGGGUCCUCCCUGCGGAACGCUGGGAACCGAGGUUCAACCCCCCUCCAGGAAACAGGUGCUUCUGCUCUCAGCACUUCGUGGUUGGUAAACUGAAAAGUACCGCUCACAAUAAGGCCUAUGAGAAAUAAGGAGAGCCUCCGGGCCGGAGUCUGGAGAUCUAGCUGCAUAGAUGAAACGAAGGCUCACAGCACAUUAGUCCACUACCAACCUGUGCAUGUGACUGGACCUGAAAAGUCGACCUUUUCCGGGAGUGGGUACUGAGGCCCUGCGGGCUGAUGCCAGACCAGGCUGCUCCUGCCACCAGGAGGGGCAAUGGGAAGCCCUGGCCUACUGGCAUUGAGCCUGGAUUCCUCCAUACACUGCUCUUUUCUUUAAGGCCUCCAUGUGUGCAUCCCUACUUCGCUGGAACAUGGAAAAGACCACAAAGAGAUUGAACCCAACUUUCCUUUAUGGAGGGGGAACAUUACGAGGGGAUGAUGGUUAAAUAUUUUCUUUACACACCUCUGUUGUUUGUUUUGCUUUGAGAGUCAUGGGCCAUUUUUGUAAUUUUC